GCCGGGCGUGGUGGCGGGCGCCUGUAGUCCCAGCUACUCGGGAGGCUGAGGCAGGGGAAUUGCUUGAACCCAGGAGGUGGAGCUUGCAGUGAGCCGAGAUCGUGCCACUGCGCUCCAGCCUGGGUGACAGAGCGAGACUCCGUUUCAA
rnacentral:SRP_RNA from 1 species